UUAGCAUGUAAGACCUUCUACAGGGAAGAUAAUGGAGAAAAAUUUCUCUAUCAGCUGAGACAGCCUGGCAAGGGCACUUUGACAGGCAUUACAGAUGAUAUCACAGUGAAUGACACACACAAACACUUCUCUUGAGAAGCCUGGAGGGAAGAACACAGAUGCAACUAACAAUGGAGAAAACAUGGGAGCUACAGGAAAGGUUCAAAACAACGCGUGGGACUUGUGGCUGCCGCUAACUGUUUUAGUUGUAAGAAGCUUAGGACUCAAUGCCCAAGAACCAUAUUACAGGUUUAGCCACGCCCAUACUUUACAGCUAAUUUAAUAGCUAGGGAGAGGAAAAUUGUUACCAGACUCCUAGAAACAGCCUUUUUGGAUUUAGAGGAUCCUUAGUUCCAAAUCCAAUUACAGGAAGUGUAUCAUCUGCUUUAAGAAAGACAUUGAGAAAGAAAAGCAUAUGUGAAAAGGCAGGGCUGUUAUGUUCCCGAGACGCCCACUCACCAAUAUUCUUAAGGGCACUGCCAAGGUGGAAAGGCUGAAGACAGUUGGCAUAUCCAAAGUCAAAUGAUGUGUGAUCCUUGAGCUCAAGAGGUUUACUACCUAAUGGAUAUUCAGAUGCUUUAAACACAGACACACAAGAUGUAAGAAGUGCUGUGCAUUGAGGGAGGACACAGUUCUAAGGUCUUCUGUCUUCUAAGACUUUCUGCAAUGCAUAUAGAGACCAAGAUCGCAUUCAAAGCAAGUUGUAUUUGCUUCCUAAGUGACAAGAUAACUACUCCGUGGUGCUUCUACUGUGUGUUAACAACAGAUCUGGGUGGUAGCUUAGGGGCAAGGAUGAGGAAGGACAUGACAACAGGUGGUCAGUAAAAUAUGUAUUUAUUCAUUAGUCUCCCACAAAAUGUCAGUCAAUACGCAUCUGAAAUGAAGUCAAAUAUUACUCAGGAGUGUGGUGUCAUCAUAAUGGAGUGAGGGCUAGACAAGUAGGUCUUUUCUGAAGUGAUCUUUGUGCAGUGUUCCCAGGAGCUGGAGGCAGACCCAGGAGCACAGGGCCAGGGACAGUUGAAAGCUGUCUGGGAGACCCCGCUUCAGGCUCACA